GCGGGGGCGCUCGCGCGCCAAGGACUUAGGUCUCUCAAACCGCCUUGACGCUGGCGGCUGCUGUCGCCUCACAAUGAGCGUGAGAAGCGCUGGGGGCGGAGCCCAAGGAGCGGAGAGGAAGAGCCGGUGGCGCCGUCCACUCCCUCGGCGUAACGUCAGAUGCCUCCGCCACAGCGUGCGCUGUGCCUUCCUUCAGGAGAGGAUGCGAGGGAAGUGGGGACGCGGAGCAGCACACAGCGCCCGGCCUGAGCACGACUUCGGUUCUGCCUUAUCAGCCUGCAGAGCACUGGGAGCCUGCGCAGGACAAAGUUGGGCCCGUCCCUUCUCCAGCGGGACCCCCGUAGACCGUCUGGCAAAAGCACUGCGAGGAGCUGUUUUGUUGUCCAUCGGUUUUGUUCUGUCCUCCGCCUUCCAGACUCUGGUGCCCCUGCUCUACUCUCCACUUCCAUGAAAUCAACUCUAGCUUUCAUAACUUUUCCUCUGUGUAUCUCAGAACUACUUUUCAUUUCCAGCAGUGAUCUCCUCUGGCCUCUUCCAAAUCCAGAGUAAAAUUCACGCACUCACGCACUGGCACGAACCAUUCUGUGCAGUGAAACCUGGACCUGGAGCUGAGGGGUGAACGCUGAAGUUGGCAUUAUCCAUACCUGUGGUUACUCAGCUCCCACAGGCACCUUUUACACAAAGACACCUGCACAACCACAAAACCACCCUGUCUCAACCCCAUACAUUACCGCCAUCAGCUGGCACUGUGGCACACACCUGUAAUCCCAGCUCCUUGGGAGGCUGAGUCGGGAGAAUCACGAAUUUGAGUAAGACCACAUCUCAAAACAAAAUUUACUUAUUUAAUGGUGGCAACAUCAUUGAACACGUAUUAAAGGUAGCGGGGAAAAGGGUAAGGGGGAAAAGUAAACUGCAAAAUAAGCUUGGGCCAAAUAAAAGUAGGAAAAGGAGAAAAAAAUAAAAAUACACACUACAGCAUCGGGUGAGCUACAAUGAAGAGACAUUGUCCUCAAAAAAAUAUUUAAAAAGGGCUGGGGAUGUCACUGAAUCCCUAGCACCACAAACAACUGUGUACCAAAAUAUAGCUAUGCAUAGCCAUCCUUCAUAUAAAUGAAGUUUUCUUUAAAGGAAGAGUCUCAGGGGGAAAAAUGAGAACCAAGACCUGUCAUGUAAAGGUGCAAGAUCUCAAUAAUGAAUGUAACUGUAUUGUGUACCUAAAAUGUGCCAAUAAACUCAUGAGGAAAAAAAAAUAGAGUCUCACAGUCCAAACGUCAGUCACACUCUGCAGCCUAAACAUUAAAUUGUAAAAUUAACCUCCAGUAACAUUAAAAACAAAGAUGGAGCUGAGCAUGGCAGUACACACCUGGGAUCCCAACCCUCUAGGAGGCUAACUGCCUGAAGAUCCUGAAUUUAAACUCAGCCCAGGCCACUUGGCAACUUAGUGAGACCCUAUCUCAAUUAAAAAUACAAGCCGGGCGUGGUGGUGCACGCCUGUAAUCCCAGCACUCAGGAGGCUGAGGCAGGAGGAUGGCUGUGAGUUCGAGACCAGCCUGGGCUACAUAGUGAGUUCCAGGUCAGUCUCACUACAUAGUGAGACCCUGUCUCAAAAAAACAAUUAAAAAUACAAAAAAGAGCUGGAGAUGUAGUGCAAUAUGAUGGUCCUGGGUCCAAUCCCCAGGGAUGGGGGGAAAAAUAUUUGCACAUACGAAUCAACACACGUCAGCCAGGCAUGGUGGCACACACCUGGAUCCCCAGCACUCUGGAGGUUGAGGUAGAAGGAUGGCUGUGAGUUCAAGCACAGCCUGAACUACAUAGUGAGACUGUCUCAAAAAAUGAAUCAACACCAACUUCUGGGAAGAGGAUGGAGUGGUAAAUAGGAACAGCCUUUCUUUUGAGAUUUGGCUCCAGCUUCUGGAAUAUAGCAACGUGAGAAAGAAAAGGAGGGGAGUAGGUUCUCGGGACCUAGCAAGGAUCUGAAUUGAAAAUUGAAUCCCAUGGGGAGAGCAAGAAGAGAGACUUCAAUGAAAAAGGAGCAGCA
rnacentral:lncRNA from 1 species